rnacentral:rRNA from 1 species
UACGAAGGGGGCUAGCGUUGUUCGGAUUUACUGGGCGUAAAGCGCACGUAGGCGGAUCGUUAAGUCGGGGGUGAAAUCCUGGAGCUCAACUCCAGAACUGCCUUCGAUACUGGCGAUCUUGAGUCCGGAAGAGGCGAGUGGAAUUCCCGGUGUAGCGGUGAAAUGCGCAGAUAUCGGGAGGAACACCAAUGGCGAAGGCAGCUCGCUGGGACGUUACUGACGCUGAGACGCGAAAGCGUGGGGAGCAAACAGG